UUCCGCCCAAUAAAUUUAUGUAAUGUCUUGUAUAAACUUAUUUCCAAGGUGCUUGUUAAUCGGAUGAAACCUCUCCUAAAUCCCAGUGUUAGCCCUCUCCAAAAUAGCUUCAUUCCGGGAAGAGGAACCUCUGAUAAUGGGAUUAUUCUCCAGAAGGUCAUACAUAGCUUUUCUAAGAACAAGAAGAAGAAAUGAGAUGUUUUAUUCAAGUUUGAUCUGGAUAAAACGUAUGAUAAGGUGGAGUGUUCUUUCCUGAAGCAAGUUCUGUUUGAUUUUGGUUUCCCUGAACCUACCAUAAAUCUGAUGUUCUGUGUGUCCUCCUUGGUGACUUUUCUUCUUUGGAAUGGUAUCAAAACUACCCUUUUUCCCAACAGGAGAGGGCUUCAUUAAGGAGACCCGUUAUCCCCGUACCUCUUCGUGUUGUGCUUAGAAAGAAUGGGUCAUUCUAUUAUGGAUGCUAAGGAUAGAGGUCUUUGGAACCCUAUUUCUUUAUCUAGAGGUGGGCCUUGCCUUAUUUGUUUUUCACGGAUGAUGUCCUGCUCUUCUCUAAAGCAAGCCUUCCCAGAUUAGGCUUAGUAAGAACAUGUUAGAUAACUUCUGCAGUGGCUCUGGUCUUCAGGUUAAUCUUGCUAAUUAAUCCAAAAUCUUUGCUUCUAAAGGUGUCACUAAUCACAGGAAGGACAAGAUUGAAGGUAUUUCUCAAAUAAAAUUUACAAGUAAUUUGGGUAAGUACUUGGGUUUCAAUAUGGUGCAUGGGAGAGUGUCCAGUAAUCAAUUUAAGGAGCUUAUGGAUAAGGUUCAAAGGAAGUUGCUAGCUUGGAAGGGUCGCCUUCUAAUAGGCCAGGGAGGGUGACUCUUGUCAAGUCAGUUCUCUGUUCUAUGCCUAUUUAUUCUAUGCAAGUUCAAUGGUUGCCUAACAAAGUUUGCGAGAAACUGGACGCCAUUAAUAGGCAUUUUGUUUGGAGUGGAUCGACCAAUAGAAAGAUUCAUCUGGCUAGCUAGGACACUAUUAUGAAACCUAUGAAGUGGGGAGGGUUAGCUAUCCGAAAGGCCCGUGAGCAGAAUAUUGGCCCUUUGGGGAAGUUGAUUUGGGACUCCUUGCAUUCCCAUGAUAAGUUGUGGAUUCAGUUGACUCAAAGUAUCCGAGUGAUAAUUUUAUGUCUAGACUGGACAACAAGGGCUCUUAUACGCGGAGGUUCCUAAAAAUGCUUAUCUAGAGCUUCAAAAUGGAUUCAAUCUUAAUCUUGGGAAUGAUGGCUCCAAUUUUUGGUUUUUUUAUUGGCUCCCAGGAGGGUCUCUGAAUGAUAAAGUUGAUUUUAUUCAUAUUCAUGACUCUGAUAUUUGUGUUUGUGAUUUUAUGCAGGUCGGAGAGUGGAGGCUUUUUCUUCUUUCUAAUUUUUGGAGGGUGUGAAGUAUAGGUGCUUAAGUUAAUGUUGUAUUGCACCCACAAAUUUAUGAUUUCUCUAUUUGCAGAGCAAGAAUUAAGCAGAGGUUGGCGCUUUAUCGUGGCGUUAUGUCCAUAUACAUGCAAUUUUCAAAUGAUGCAGAAGAGACCUUCUCUAGAGCCCUCAAGCUACUAUUGGUUAGUAAGGUUCAUGGAUAAUUAGUUCUUAAGGCCACUCAGAGAAGAGUGCUUCCUUCUCAGAUUCAUCACCCCUGGUAUUUUAGUCAUGAAUUCUUCAAUUCUACACUUUUCUUUAAAUGUAUGGGUGCUAUAAUAUUUUUCGUAUGUUCUUCUCGGUCUAUAUAUACCCGAGUGCUAGAAUAUUUUCGUAGAAAAAAAAAAAUAACAGAACCAUGAUAUUUUUGUUUUAGAUAUUAGUCCAUGGAAUAGUAGGUCCUUAUCCAAGCUUGCCAAACAUAACCAAAUACCUUAGAUAUUUUAUAGUCUCUGAUAAAUCAAUUUGUCUUAGUAGUUGAAUGCUAAGACAUUCUAUUCAUGACACUUUACAAAACAUGGGAAUUUUAUUAGUAAAUAUACGAUAGGUACUCAGAAUAGUACACCACAAAACCAAAAUUAAUGUUGGAAAAACUUUGGUUAUGUGGUAUUUAUUCUUAUCUUAUGCAAUAAAUACCUUGUAACCAAGUGGAUAUCUUUUGUAAAUGUUACGGCAUUUCUGGUGCCAUACAUCAAUAUAUCUUUUUUGCUUUAAAAAAAAAACAAAAUUAAUGGUCCUCAAAACACCACAGUACGCUUCCAUAAAAAACAAACAGAUUUAGUUAACUUUUGUAGUUCUGGUUAAUUAUAAGUUGUAUCUCACUCCAAGGGUGGUACCUCAUGGCUAGGACCCUAACACUUUGAUUGGGGAAAGGAUGUUAGAAAAAGGAAGAGAAUAAAUUAGUAUGACAGAAAGUAGCUUUCUUGCUCUGGGAGGAGGGGGAAUAGGUUAUAGGUUAGGGGGCUACAAGCAAAAUUCUUUUUUCCCAAAGGGGGAGGGGAAAAAUAUUGUGGAAUUUUUCUGUUUUUAGUUAAUUUAAUUUAAUGUUAAAUUAUAUUUUUUUAUACUACUAUAUAACAUAUAAAAUGAAAAAAAAAAAGUAAUGUCAAAUAUGAUAUAAAUAAACUGAAUAUAUGUCUUGAAUCUAGACAUUUCUUUUAUCCUAUAUAUCUAUUCAUUCAACUCUGAUAUAUAUAAGUCUAAUGCAUAGAUGGAUUUUUAUUUUUGGUGUUUUGAUGGAAAUUAUAUUGAAGGGAAGAUAAGUUUUUAUUUUAAAUUUAAAAUAGUUGUAGAAUAUUUAUGAAAAUAAAUAAAUAUUAGCAGGAUGCAUGUCAAGAAAAAUCCCUUUUCUUUUCUAUUCAUUACAUCAUACAUAUACGUACCUUCCCUUUUCCAAUUAAAGAUUGUAUUCGCAGGGUGUCAAGAAAAUAAUUUUCCUUCGGUACGUAACAGGGAUGACCAAAUAUUGUUCAAUGGAUUAUUAUACUACUUGGGAUGCUAUACAUUAUCUGGGGCAUCACGUCUUCCAUUAUGGAGAAUAGUGGAGUUGUUAUGGCAAUAUUGCUUCAUGCAGGACCAAUGGAGUUUCUCUGUUAUUGGUUACACUGAGCACUUCAUCAUUUUGUAAUUUCUCUAUUAUUGGUCCGAUCUUAACUUUGUCUCUUUUGUAAUUUCAGUAUUCAAUUUUUGAAAUAAUUAUAAUUUGUAGAUAUUUAUAACUUUUUAA